AGAUUGAACGCUGGCGGCAGGCCUAACACAUGCAAGUCGAGCGGUAGAGAGGUGCUUGCACCUCUUGAGAGCGGCGGACGGGUGAGUAAUGCCUAGGAAUCUGCCUAGUGGUGGGGGAUAACGUUCGGAAACGGACGCUAAUACCGCAUACGUCCUACGGGAGAAAGCGGGGGACCUUCGGGCCUCGCGCCAUUAGAUGAGCCUAGGUCGGAUUAGCUAGUUGGUGAGGUAAUGGCUCGACCAAGGCGACGAUCCGUAACUGGUCUGAGAGGAUGAUCAGUCACACUGGAACUGAGACACGGUCCAGACUCCGUACGGGAGCAGCGAGGUAGGGAAUAGUUGGAACAAGUGGGACGAAAGCCUAGACUCCGAGCCAUCGGCCGCGGUUGUGGUAGAAGGAGGUU
rnacentral:rRNA from 1 species